GCAACUCGCCUGCAUGAAGUCGGAGCUGCUAGUAAUCGUGGAUCAGAAUGCCACGGUGAAUGCGUUCCCGGGUCUUGUACACACCGCCCGUCACACCAUGGGAGUCGGGAAUGCCCGAAGCCGGUGGCCCAAUCGAAAGAAGGGAGCCGUCGAAGGCAGGCCGGAUGACUGGGGUGAAGUCGUAACAAGGUAAC
rnacentral:rRNA from 1 species